AAGCUUUAAUUGUACGCUUGUUAACAAUGCCAUAGAUUUGACCAUUGUAUUAACUGAAACAGGCACGUUAAUUACUUGACCAUAAAUGCCGUAUUGACCAUUCACAUGUCUCAGACGUCUGAUUUGCAUAAAAGAAAUACGAGGCGAAAUUAAUCCUUCAGAAACUAAAUCUAAAGGUGAUAGAUGCUGAGGUACAUCUGGAUAUUUGAAGCCGUUAUAUGUUUAUAUUAAAGGAAUAUUCUUCUCGUUUAAAGCUUAUGGCUCUUUUAAAUCGUUCUUAAACAACAAUCUGUCACAUACUGAGCAUGGAUGUUCAAAUAAAUUGUCAAAGAAUUUUAUUUUAAA
rnacentral:lncRNA from 1 species